rnacentral:rRNA from 1 species
UGGGGAAUAUUGGACAAUGGGGGCAACCCUGAUCCAGCAAUGCCGCGUGUGUGAAGAAGGCCUUCGGGUUGUAAAGCACUUUUAGCAGGAAAGAAAAGUCGUUCGCUAAUACCGGAAGGCUUUGACGUUACUUGCAGAAAAAGCACCGGCUAACUCCGUGCCAGCAGCCGCGGUAAUACGGAGGGUGCAAGCGUUAAUCGGAAUUACUGGGCGUAAAGCGCGCGUAGGCGGCUUGUUAAGUCGGAUGUGAAAUCCCCGAGCUCAACUUGGGAACUGCAUUCGAUACUGGCUCGCUAGAGUGUGGUAGAGGGAAGUGGAAUUCCAGGUGUAGCGGUGAAAUGCGUAGAUAUCUGGGGGAACAUCAGUGGCGAAGGCGGCUUCCUGGACCAACACUGACGCU